rnacentral:lncRNA from 1 species
CGCGCCGUCGUCGUCGCCGAAGGGAGCCAUCGUCGCUGUCAUUGGAACAGAGGGCGAGAGAGAGACAGAGAGCUCGCGGUGGGGGAAAGGAUAGGCGCCGCCGUGCUGCGUGAAGCUAUCGCCGCCGUUCCUGCUGCCGUCCAGCCUCAGUUAGCACCGCCGAAGCUCCUGCCAUCACCGUCGUCGAGGAAGCUCACCGGAGUUGCUGGAGGCUACCGCCGCUCUAUCUGGUUCUAUUUUGAGUCGCACAACCGUGUCCGUGGCCGCCGGAGACCGUAUCUGAAGCUCGCGGUGGGGGAAAGGAUAGGCGCCGCCGUGCUGCACGAAGCUAUCGCCGCCGUUCCUGCCGCCGUCCAGCCUCGGUUAGCACCGCCGAAGCUCCUGCCAUCACCGUCGUCGAGGAAGCUCACCGGAGUUGCUGGAGGCUACCGCCGCUCUAUCUGGUUCUAUUUUGAGUCGCACAACCGUGUCCGUGGCCGCCGGAGACCGUAUCUGAAUCCU